UAAAGCAUUCAACUUAGUUUAAAUCUGAGAGACGUUUAGGCUUGAAGUUGUUGAAUUUGAUUUCCUGUGAAAUUUUCAAAUGUUGAAGAUUAUUCUAUUCGUACUUGUAGUUGUGUUGGGUACUACUUUUAUCUCGGGGAAAAGCCCUGAUGAAAAGUGCCAGGCAAAGGAUACUCCUUGUAAUACAAGCCUUGACUGUUGUAAAAAUGGAGGACUGAUUUGUAUUGCUGUUGAUGACCAUGGGGAAUGCAAAGUAUUAUUCAGUCGCUUUAAAGCUGACAGCUUAAGGAAGGGGAUUCUAUAUACAUUUAGAAAAAUAAAAUAGGGGUGACACCAAUUUCAAGUUUCCAAAUAAUGCACGGAUUCAUAAGACUAGUAAUUUUAUGAACGUGUUUGAUUUAUCAAGAAUAAUUUAACAUGCCAAUAUAAGAAAAAAUAAAAUAAAAAAUAUCUCAAUGACUA
rnacentral:lncRNA from 1 species